rnacentral:misc_RNA from 1 species
UUUCCGUAGGUGAACCUGCGGAAGGAUCAUUACAAAUCAGGAGUGAUGGCGUGGGGGAGGAGAGGGAGGGUUGUGUUGAGUGGGGGAGCGGUGGUGGGUUGGUGGUAGUGGAUGUCUGCUGCUGCCGCCUGCUCUGUUCCUUGCGCAGCCAACCAACUCCAACUCCAACCCCACGGCCAGCCGCUCACAUUCGCGCUUGUUGUGUAUGACAGAGUAACAGUGACACGGAAAGAGACAACUUUUAACAAUGGAUCUCUUGGCUCUU